AUGAGGUGUUGUGAUGAUCUUCUCUCAAUACUUUUGUGUUAAUUUCAAGUUAGUUUCUUUUAAUUUUGUUUAUCUUUAAAUUGCCGCAAAUUUGGGGGUUUUGGAUUUUUUUUCUUAGUCAUGCGUGUAUUAAUCGGUAGUUUCAACUAUUUAACUAUUUCAUUGCAAAAUCCAUUUUAUUGUUUCAUCAAUGGUGGUUUAUAUAUUGAAUUCCAUUUAUGCAGAAUUUUGCUCAUUCAUAUGUUUUGGAAUUCAUUUUUUCAAAAUUACUUCUUUAAUAUAUCUAUACAUAAUUAGUAACAUCAUAUGAAUUCUUCACGGAGGUGGAUUCUUCUCCCACUUUGAAUUUUUCUUCAAAAAGGAAAAAUGAAUUGAUUGCGCUUGGUGGGGAAAGUAAUUAUCUUAACUCACAUGGAAAAUCAAAUUUUGGUGGUUUGGGGGGAGAAGUGACAUCAUUUGCUAUAACAAAUAGUACUAUCUUCUAUUAUUCUGUCAGAAGAAUUAUUUUGUCAAUGAGAGUAGGUAUCGUAACUUGUGGCUUACUCUCACUCCCACUCUCCUUUGUCAUUUUUCUUUUCUUAUUAUUACUCCAUGAUAUAAAAGAAUGUGAGAAGAAGAUUUGUGUGAUUGGCGAGUGAAGUGAAGAUGAAUGGAAGAGGUGGAUAGAGAUCUGGUGUGCUGGGGUACAGCACCAGCAAAGCACUUCUAACAACGUGACUUUUUUUUUUGCUGCUCCCUUUUGGUAAAUUUUUUUAAGCAUUUUUUUAUGCUCGAGGUUAUGUCAAAGUCAUUGUCUUGGAUCUUAACUGUUUGGAAUUAGUUUGCUUUUAUUAGUUUUGCUAUCCAGGGUGGGACAAUUCUUAAUUGCUUAAAUUAAGGAAUGCUGGUUUGUUUUUCAUAAUGGUUAUGCUGCACUAGCUCAUUAUUGUUGGGCUUGCCGUUUUGUUGUUUUGCUUUAUGAAUGGCAAUAUGUUUUGGAGUCAUACACUCAUGCUUAGGUGGUAGUUAUCCAUGGAUCUAUUAAGGAUGGACAUACCAAUUUGAAUAUAUGUCUACUUAAACAGAUCAUCUUUGUUUGCUAUUUAUAUACAGGGAAUCAUUCAAUAAUAUCAAGAUUUGAAGGAUUGGAUCCUGUCAUGAGGCUCAAACUUGAUUUGGUUGAGGUGAUUAUUUUUAGUUUAUUAUUUUUUUAGAUUAUUUUUUCAUGUAACUGAUAUUUUGAUAUACUUGUAUAUAGAGGUGUGGAGUUGAAGUAGGUUAGUAGGUCACAUAAAUUUAUUGAAGUUGUCUACUAAAGAAUUUAUUUGCUAUAUUAGGAUAUUUCCAGUGAUUCUAUCAUAAUCUGAAUUUUGGUAAAGAGUGUGAUCAUUUUUGCCCCACCAAGAGCAUAUCCUUGAUAGUAGAAAACUCCAUUUUAGGUGAACUAAAAACUGGAUUCAGAAAAGUCUUGUGAUCCUAAAGAAAUAAAAGUAAACAAUUUUCUCAUUGCCCCGGCUGAGAAAAAAUGCUUCAGGCAUGCAAUUCCAGAAAAAUAGGAACAUUAGAAGUGCCACUAUCAUGUUCAUUCAGAGUUAGUUAAUUAACUAUUAACUAUAACCAUGUCUCUCAUCUACCCUCCAAGCUAACACCUAAUUUAAUUUCUAAAUGUACUUGGAACAAAAAUAACGAUUAAUCCAUUGUUGUGUCCCACUAUUACCGAUGAAUUGUGAAUAAAAGAUUUGAUUAUUGUUAAUGCACAAAUUAAACCUGCUUCCUUGAAAGACUUUUAAUUUGUCUUUGUUUCGAAGCAAUGAAAUCCUUAUAGCUGAGAGGAUUCAAGGCCUUAUGCUGCAGUAGUUGUAGGAGGCUUAGUAUGUCUUCCAUAGAGGAAGCAGAGAGUUCAUCAGCCUCUGAUUGGUUGCCUUCGGUGUCAAGCAUUGCACAAGCCAUGGUGCAAGAGAGACUUGAACAAUUGAUUAGGGAGAGAAGGCUGGAAGAGAGAUGCAGGAGGCACCAGCAAAGCAGAGUCAGAGAAAGAACUAAAUUUGUUGUUAUGGUGGCAAUAAAGAAAUGUUUUUAUGAUCCAAGAGAGGAUUUUAAGGAGUCCAUGAUGGAGAUGAUAACAGCAGAUCACAUUAAAGAAGCCAGAGAUUUACCUACUCAACAAUUAUAUCUCCAUGAACUCCAAUGAGUACCAUGGUCUUAUACUUGAGCUUUUUCAUGAGCUUUGAGGAAUGUGGCAUUCUUGCUAAGUUUGUUAUAAUUGAGGAUGGAUGGCAAUCUGUUGGUAUAGAUCCUAAUGGUAUUGAAUAGAAAGCUGAUAAUUAUACAAACCGGGUCUUCAUUCAUGGAGGCCUUGGAGGGGGAAUUGACCCAACGGGGUGCAAUUGACGACAUUGAAAAGCUAUGAGAAUACUUGGAGAUUCUAGAAUGGCAGGUAUUUGGAGGAUCAUAGGAAAGCACACUUGCUCUUGCUUACAGCCAAGCUCACCCAGACAAGGGAAAUUUUCCUCUUAAGGAAGAAAGAGAUUGACUGGUUUAUGAAGGUGGUAGUGUUGCAAUAUUCCGUGAUGGACAUGGAAGUAUUAUAUUUCCAGGCUUAUAUUGACGGUGUUGAUUUUGUUUUUAUUGACAAUCCAAUACUUAGCCAUAUAGAGAAUAACAUAUAUGGUGAAAACCGAGUAGCACCAUGGAUGGAAUCUAAGCAUAAGCUAGAAAAGGAUCGUCAAGGACGUGCAACUAAUCCUGAUCUAGAUCUAGCUGACACUGAAAAGAUCUUUCGGUAACAUAUCAAGAUGCUUCAGGAAGUAAGUGACUAUGAACUAUUUUGUGUGGGUUUUUCUUAGAAGUUAUGGCUUGUGUCUAAGGCUCUCAGCAGGUUUUUGGUUUGUAAAAGAGUGUGCUUAUUGUAUGAAUCAGUAACAACAUAUGCAGUAGUUGCAUCUUCAAUUUCAUGAUUUCCUUUUUAAUUUUCUGUUUUUACACAUUCAAACUUUAUAUUAUAAUAUGGAAUUUUGUUAUUGCUGUUAAA